AAUUAAACGGCCGCGGUACCCUGACCGUGCGAAGGUAGCAUAAUCACUUGUUCUUUAAAUAAGGACUAGUAUCAACGGCAUCACGAGGGUUUUACUGUCUCCCCUCUCUAAUCAGUGAAACUGACUUCCCCGUGAAGAGGCGGGGAUGUAAUUACAAGACGAGAAGACCCCAUGGAGCUUUAAACCCACUAACAACCUCUAACUAAACACACCCACGUAAAUGAAGCGUAAUGUACAGUGGUUUUAGGUUGGGGUGACCACGGAGUAAAACCAAACCUCCAUGACGAACGGAAAUUCAUCCUAAUCCAUGAGCCACCGCUCUAAGAAUCAAAAACUUGACAUAAUAUGAUCCGGUAACCGAUCAACGAACCAAGUUACCCUGGGGAUAACAGCGCAAUCCAUUUCAAGAGCCCCUAUCGACAAAUGGGUUUACGACCUCGAUGUUGGAUCAGGGUAUCCCAGUGGUGCAGCCGCUACUAAAGGUUUGUUUGUUCAACAAUUAAAACCCUACGUGAUCUGA
rnacentral:rRNA from 1 species